ACGCUGGCGGCGUGCUUACACAUGCAAGUCAAGGAGAACAUUUUCUUCGGAAAAUAAGUAAACUGGCGAACGGGUUAGUAACGCGUAAGCAACCUACCCUUUAGAUUGGGACAACCCCGUGAAAAUGGGGCUAAUACCGAAUAAUAUUUAUUGUCUCUGGACAAUAAAUCAAAGUAGGCUUCGGCUUAUACUAUUGGAUGGGCUUGCGUCUGAUUAGCUAGUUGGUAGUGUAAUGGACUACCAAGGCAACGAUCAGUAGGUGGUUUGAGAGGAUGAUCACCAACACUGGGACUGAGAUACGGCCCAGACUCCUACGGGAGGCAGCAGUGAGGAAUUUUGCGCAAUGAGCGAAAGCUUGACGCAGCAACGCCGCGUGAUUGAAGAAGGUCUGAGGAUUGUAAAAAUCUGUUAUAAGGGAAGAAUAGCAUAUAUUCUAACAAAGUAUUUGUUUGACGGUACCUUAUGAGAAAGCCCCGGCUAACUUCGUGCCAGCAGCCGCGGUAAUACGAGGGGGGCAAGCGUUGUCCGGAUUUAUUGGGCGUAAAGAGUUCGUAGGCGGGUUAGUAAGUCUAUAUUGAAAUACAAUGGCUUAACCAUUGAAACAGUAUGGAUACUGCUAAUCUUGAAUUAUGUAGAGGUAAGUGGAAUUUCUGGUGUAGCGGUGAAAUGCGUAGAUAUCAGAAGGAACACCAAAGGCGAAGGCAACUUACUGGGCAUUAAUUGACGCUGAGGAACGAAAGCGUGGGUAGCAAACAGGAUUAGAGACCCUGGUAGUCCACGCCGUAAACGAUGAGUACUUGGUGGUGGGAGAUUCGACCCUCUUACUGCUGGAGUUAACGCAUUAAGUACUCCGCCUGGGGAUUACGACCGCAAG
rnacentral:rRNA from 1 species